AUACGGAGGGUGCAAGCGUUGUCCGGAUUUAUUGGGUUUAAAGGGUGCGUAGGUGGCGUGUUAAGUCAGUGGUGAAAGCCUGCAGCUCAACUGUAGAGGUGCCAUUGAUACUGACAUGCUUGAGUAUGGACGAGGUAGGCGGAAUUUGUGGUGUAGCGGUGAAAUGCAUAGAUACCACAAAGAACACCGAUAGCGAAGGCAGCUUACUGGACCAUAACUGACACUGAGGCACGAAAGUGUGGGUAGCGAACAGGAUUAGAUACCCCAGUAGUCC
rnacentral:rRNA from 1 species